rnacentral:rRNA from 1 species
UACGUAGGGUGCAAGCGUUAAUCGGAAUUACUGGGCGUAAAGCGUGCGCAGGCGGCUUUGCAAGACAGAUGUGAAAAUCCCCGGGCUUAACCUGGGAACUGCAUUUGUGACUGCAAGGCUAGAGUGCGGCAGAGGGGGAUGGAAUUCCGCGUGUAGCAGUGAAAUGCGUAGAUAUGCGGAGGAAUACCGAAUGGCGAAGGCAGGUCUCUGGGCUGACACUGACGCUCAUGCACGAA